rnacentral:rRNA from 1 species
AUUGAACGCUGGCGGCAGGCCUAACACAUGCAAGUCGAGCGGAGCGGCGGACGGGUGAGUAAUGCCUAGGUAUCUGACUGGCAGUGGGGGAUAAAGUCCGGAAACGGGCGGUAACACCGCAUACUAUCAGAUGAGCCUAGGUCGGAUUAGCUAGUUGGUGGGGUAACGGCCUACCCAGGCGACGGUCCCGACCUGGUCUGAGAGGAUGAUCAGUCACACUGGAACUGAGACACGGUCCAGACUCCUACGGGAGGCAGCAGUGGGGAAUAUUGGACAAUGGGCGAAAGCCUGAUCCAGCCAUGCCGCGUGGGUGAAGAAGGUCUUCGGGUUGUAAAGCACUUUAAGUUGGGAGGCGUUACCAGCAGAAGAAGCACCGGCUAACUCCGUGCCAGCAGCCGCGGUAAUAC